UGCAAAACUGCAGCAGGAUUGCAGAAGUAAUGUUCCCUGAGAAUCAUCUGUUUGCAUUCCUUCCUAUGGGCACAAAAGAAUACAUGGUACGCUUCUGUGGCCCUGCUGAAAAUAACUGAAUCCCAGGUAUCUGUUGAGUGACUCUGUAGGGUGCAGCGUUUUCACCAAAGUGCUGCAGCACUAAGGGCUGAUACAGUGUUCAAAAGCCUUUAAGACAGACUCCAAGGCUUCCUGCUAGGAAGUCUUCCAGCGAGUUUUUUUUCAGGUGUGACAUGAGAAUUGAGCUGCAUUUGAUUGAAUAGCAGCUAGCUCCUCCUUAGGACGGAUAAGUAUCAAGUAGAAGAAGAAAAUGAGCAAGAAGCUAGUUUCUACAGUGAACAAAAAGCAGCUCUCAUCUUUUGUGUGGUGGUGAAAGUCAAACUUUCAGAAGGUUCCAGUCUCUGAAUAUUUCAGUGCGUUCAUCUCAGCAUUCUUAAGAUGAGGAAACCUUAAAUAAUUUAUGAUCCUAUCAGGAAAAAAAAAAAUGGUGCACAUGUACCUGCCUAACACCGGCCAUAGCUCUUGCAUGCUGGGUGGAGCCCACACAAUAUGACAUGAAAAAGGAGUGAGCCACACAGGGAAGACAUUUUCAUUUACGUCAGAGCCCAUUGCUGAGUGGUGAGGAAUGUACACCGGGGGAUGAGCACCAGCAAGCAUCUAGUGGCUGCCAGGAGGGAAGCAGCACAUAAACUGGUAAGCUUUAGUUUACUUUUCACACUGUUUGGAGCUUCUGACCAUGUGAUGCUUUGGCCACUACAGAUGGCUGCAAUAUGGCAACAGGAUCUGAUCCUGCCUGCAGCCCUUGACUGUUCUUAACCCACAGCUCCUGAUCUGCUUUUAGAAUAUCUCAAUCAGGAUCAAGAUUUUCUGGAAUGUGUCAUUUUUAUUUUAGUCUUAUUAUAACUAAGUUGCUGAUCUUUAUUUUUAUCAAUUAAUGACCCUUUUGAACUUCAUCUCAUGAUACUUGAUUAACCUACUUAAAUAUACUGGAAAUUACACAUUCCUCAUUUAUGUCAUUCAUUAAUCACUGCUCAGUAAAUGCUGUCAGAAAGCUGUCAUCUUUGAUGUCUCAUUGUUCGCUGCAUUCUUUCUUGUGGGUAGUUAAUCAAAUGCUCCCCCACUGUGGUCAAAGCACAGUUUGAUAGCAGUUUCAGAGGUCAUCCAGAAUUAGAACACAAAGCUUAUUGUAAAGGUUCAUUUUUUCUUAUACCAUGCUAAACAAAAAGCUUUCAUUUUGCACUCAUUGGCAAGUGACACAUUAUUAUCAUGCCCUUGUGACUGGGUAGCUCAGAAAAUAGUACUAAGUUCUGCCAUCUAACUGAAGCACACAGUAAUGGCUGACUAAUUACCUGCAGCUCUGCAAUAAACUGCAAAGUUUGAAUUGUCAAUCACAGUGAAAUAAUGUUUCUUUGCUUUUUUUUUUAUUAGAGAUUGAAAUAAGAACAAUUGUCAAAAUGUAUUAAAACUUCAGGGGGUGGUAAGUCAAAUGAAAGCACCCCACAGAGAAAAAAUCCUAUCCUGGGACAAGGAAAGAAUUUUUAUUUCUAGUGUUUGUUCAAGGGAAGUUUACUUUAAGAUAUUUAGAAAUAAAUUCUGCAAAAGCAAUAGCUAGUUCUCAAUCAGCCUGAAAGCAAGUAAAAUACAAAUUCAGGUGAAUAAAGGAGUACAAAGAAAUGGGACUAUUUAAAAAGUUCAUUAAAGUUCUUAAAAAUUCACUGGAAUCACUGAUAAAGAUGAUGCCUUCUUAGACAGAAGAAUAUGAUAAUUUUGUAAAUAACACAUGAAAACAACUACAUUCAGGAAGUAGUAAGCAGCAGUCCCUAAUAAGGAGCUGAGGUAUUUCGCUAGUUAAGAUCCUGUACAAUUGAUGUGCUGUUUCCUGAGUUUGUCCUCUGCAAAAUGCCUAGUGAGAGUCACCCAUCACUAAGACAACCAAGCUUGUGGGACAAGAACUUGGAAUGGUAUAGGAUUGUAUCUGAUGUGGGUAAGUGUAAUAUUUGAUCUCUUAAUUUUUUAAAUAUAUUGUAAGCAUAUCUUUGUAUUAGACAUCUUAUAAUCCAGUGGUACACAUACAUACAAAAUGCAUCUGUAUCAUUUUUGGAUUUUCUUGCUGUGUGCAUUUGCUAUAGUUUGCUUGGAGAGUACACAUCACUAAUUAAAACAAAAGCUUGGUAAACAUGGUAUUUUUAUUUUCUCUCUUAUUUUUAUAUUCACUAUUUUUCAUUUUCUUGUUUGAGAUUGAAAAGAAUAUGAUGUUCUAGACUGAAGGCACUUUCCUUAUGUAUUUUUUCAGAGAGGACAGAGGGAACAAAAUAUUUUCUUUUUUUCUAGACAUUAACAUUCCACCUGACUCAAAUCCCCAUGGCCUUAAGUACUAUUUUCUUUUCUGUUAGAGUCUAGAAAUAAAAGCAUGAAGGUAAUACAUAGUCAGCUUUUCAUUCUUACAAUACACCUCUUGGUGAGCAUUUUGAUCUUAAGAGCAGCAUAAAACAUUGAGGAAGAAAUCUGAAAGGCAUAAAUCCCAGUUGUAUUAAAAGCAGACACUGACUAUUCAAAAUCCAGAUGCUAAUUUCACUAAGGUUACAAGACAAUAAUAACGUCUCCAUUGAUACCUGUAAGGAUCUAAACAGUUCUCUUCCCAGCAGUAUCUGAAGUUCACUGACCCAUUUAGCCUGGCUCUUUGCUUACAUUUCUCAGCUUCUGUGUGAUAUCACUGCUGUCAGCCCAAUCUACGUUCAGACAGGUAAAAUUGUGACAGAUGUUUAAAGAAGAAAUAAGUGACAUGAUCCUGAUUCACAGUACGCUAUAAGAUGAACGUUUGUUGAGUACAUCACCGCAGAAAACAGGCACUUGGAUAGAAGAGAGUCUCAUUAACAUGUUUUUCAGUGAAAUUCAAGUUCAAGUGUCUGAUUUUUAUUUUCUCUCCCAGGUACCAUGUUUUUGGAGUUCUACCAUUGCAUUUAGUGUAGUCACUAAACGCUUUACAGGAAUAUAAGAAUGACUCCAACUAAAUGUAUGCUGUUGAUUAGUGCAUCAAGCUUCAGGGCUUGAUGGAUGGGCAUGGAAACAACAUUAGUAUGAGUUUGUACCCUUCUCCUUCAAGGACCUUGAAGGACUUCCCUAUAGUUGAUUUUUUUUUUUAAUAUACUUAUUUCUACUAACAGUAUAAGAAUUUUGGAAGUUCGUCAAAGUCCAGGAACUUAAAAUACAGUCGUAAAACAGAGCCAGGCUACCAUAGAUCUUACAAAUGUAAUUUGAGAACUAACAUGAAGUAUAAAAUCUUUUUAUAAGAAAAAAAUGAAGAUAUAAAAGAAAUUAACACAUGAUUUAUUAAACAUAAUCCUAAUCAGCAGAGGUAGAAAACUGAAAUAUUAAAUGACUCCUCUUUCACCCUUCAUAUCAUACUGUUAUAAUUGAAAUUGGAAUUUUCAGGUGAAUUGUUCGCCUGCUUUGCAGAUUGCUUCUUCAGCUAUUUUUCCUUUUUUUUUUUCCUCCUUUAUCUGAGAGCAAUAUUUCUAAAAGGAGAAAAUAAUCUUGUGAAAUGGCAUCUAUUCUUUCUCUUUUAAAGUACAGAAAAUACUUUUCUCACCACACUUUCCAAAUACACAUUAAUUGUAUUGAAUUUUAAGAAAAUAUUAUGUAGGAAGAAAUAAUUAUAGCUGUCUGCUAACUGCUAUUGUUUUCUUGGUAACAUGUGACACCCUAAUGACAGGCACAUGCUGCUUGACACUGCCAGGAUCUCACUGUGGGCAGUGAGAGACCCAAAAAUACGAUGUCACCUAAUCCAGCGGCAAGGCUGAAAUCCCAUAUUUCUUCAGUUAUUCUCACUGCCCUAGAAGGAAUAUUUUGAGCCUGAACAACCUUUCACAAUCAAAAUACAAACAUAACUGGUUGGGUUUCAAAUGAAUACUUGGACUUUCCCAAAGCAAAUGUACUUCCAGCAGGAAAGCAUCUAAACAGUUCUCCUUAGAAAGAGCCUAGCUAUAGGAAAACUGCUGUAUUUCUGCACAACGCAACAUCACUGGUCAAUUGAUAAUUUCUUACUUUUUAAACUAAGAUCAUACAUAAGCAGACUUAGAACUCCUUGCCAGAGGAAGUCUGCUAUAACAUGAACAUCACCCCCCUCUUUUUUAAUCCCUUUUCAAAUUGGGAAAAAAAAAACCACUAAGAGCUUGGACUCAGCCAAAGAGAUGUUUUAUAGCUUGGAAUGGUUCUAAUUCAAAUAUGUAGCAAAUUUCAGCCAAGAGUGUCAGAUGAUCAAGAACACUUAGCUCAUCUAUUCGUGAAAUACAGUAGGAUACAAUAAGGACUAGCCAACUCUAAUCAAGAAGAAUGCUUCUGUAAUUAAAUAGGAUUGUUUGUUAGCCCAAGAAAUUAGAGAAAGCUCUUACAGCACAAACAAUAACAGUCUGGUUUAUUACCUCUGUAGUAAUUUUUUUCCUUCACAGUCUCAUGAUUUGCAAUAACACUUUGAUUUUCAUUUAAGUUGUUUGGAUUUUUUUUUCUUUCACUGCAGCUCUUUUAGAUUGUGAUAAAUGAAGAUGCAUUAUCUUCAUAAUUUACCCUCACAAUAAUGCUGUUAUAGUUUUUGUUUUGUUUCUUAAGAAAAUCAAGAGAAUUUGUUCUUAAUUACAUUCAUGACACAUGUACUUUGUCUCAUGUCUGUUCUGUUCCCUUCUUAUGUUUGUUCAUCAGACCAGAGUGAUUUCACCAUAUGAAUAUACUGGAUUGAAGUAGGACCUGCAGUAAGAUUAAUACUGACUUUCCAGAUAAGCAAGUAUGUCUGCAAUAUCUGAAAGUCAUCUUUCAAAGAAAAACUUGAAGUUGGAAUGCACAACAGGAUGGCACGUAUAAUGCCAUCAGCCUACUGGAAGUUGCUCUGCUACCUUGCAAUCAUGAUUAAUAAAGGGCAAUAUACAGUUUUGUAAGAAGUAAAUUAAGAUCUCACUUAUUUCUGCUUGAUAGAAAUCAGUUACAUAUCAAUUCCACCACUUUCCUCUAUGAAUGCUAUACCCCUCUAGACAAGGUAGAGUAUUGUGCAUUUGGAAUGAUGCAAGCAAACAAGUUCCCCAUGACUGUCAGUUACUAUGUACAGUGGACAUUCCCUCUGCACAAGAUACAAACAGGUUUGCAUCUGAGUUCCUGGAACCAUGUUCAGUGUAAGUGCUACUUUGUGAACACCCUGCAAAAAUCAGACUUUGUACAUCUGCAGUCAGUCUGAGGUCUGCCCUAAAGUUCUCCAUGACUGUACACAUCUCUCAUCUUCGUACUGUGCCCAGCAAGCUCUAUGAAAGGCUGAUAUUUUGACAGCUGUUUAUAUGGAUACUUAAGAUAUUUGUACAUAUACACACUACUUGACUACAUAUAGGAUAAGAAUUGUGAUACAGAAUCACCUGAAUCUACAAGAUUAUAUACCACAACCAGGAAGUUGAUUUUUUUAAUGACUAAGCUCAACUACAACACAAUAAAUGCAAAAUAUUGUAGAGAAUAGAAAACUAAAAGUAAUGCCUGGUCAGGACAAUUGACACAAUUGUUUAAAAAAAAAGGGGUCAAAUCACAAAAUCAGAUAUAUUCUUGUCUUCUACAAUUACUUCACUUCCCUAUUACACAUAGACUUUUUUGUUUUUGGCAGUGGUGAUGCAGAUCCUGUACCCUAUGCAAUGUAACCUAUUCAAAUGGAUUCCAUGAGAUCAUGUUUUGAAUUGUACCAAGCAGCAGCUGGAUAUUCUCAGACACAACAGGACUGCAAUGCUUUGAGCUCAGUAGUGCUCUGAACAGAUAUCCAAGUCCCUAGACUUUAUAGUUGAGCAUGGCUUUUGAACAUUUACUUCAAAUAUAUAGAAAAGGGCAUUCAAUAAAACUUGAAACACAGAAGAGAGGUGAAAACUGUUCAGGUGUGGCCAUAUGAUGCCAGGAAGUUGCAUUGCAGAGGUACACUUGGAAUGGUGUGCCAUAAGAUGUCAGAUUCUACAGGAAAUUAAGCAUCUGAUAAGUUCAAUUAUUCAAUCUCAUAUGUGGUAUAUAAAAAAAAGCAGUUAAUUUGCAUCCUGCAGUUUUCCCUUUUGCCUCUGAACUUUAAAAAGAAAAAAAUGCAAUUGCCUAUUGUGUUUAUUUAAUUAUACGUUCAACUGUUUAUUUGAUAACAAAGAGACUCAUGGACUCUUAUCAAAUGCUGUUUUUAUAAUUCGUAGAUCAUUUAGUAAAACAGUUUUUUUUUUAAACAGAUAGGAAGAAAGAUAAAAAAAGUUUAUUUCCUGAGUACACUGAAUUUGACAAUACUCAGAGCAAUCAAAGUUAAACUCUGUGCAUGAGAUACAAACAGCUUCUUUUUUCUAGAAGCUCUCCAUCAAUUAUAACAGAACACAGCUUAACAGAAAAAUUGUCAUUGUCUUACCAUAGCUGUGACAACGCCAGGCCUCUCCAGAGGUUGUUGUGUCAUAUGGUCACCAACUGCUGCAAAGUACCAGUGUUGCUGGACCAAAACCAAAGAACUAGAGAAAGCAACCCAAUUUUGUAAGCGUUGAUCACAGUUUAGGACUAAUGAUGUCAAAAAGCCAUUGACCGCCUCUGCUCUGGUUUAGUCUGCAGAAGGCAAAUCAAAUCUCAUGCUAAAACUUGCUGGCACGCUCUAGGAAGAAUACUUACUUUGUGACAAAAAUUCAGUAAGAUACUAUCUAAUUACUUGAAUCAGUACUACACUGAACAUAUGAGAAAAGAAGAUUUAGGCAAGAAGUCAUAUCCUUGAAUUUUUCUGUGAUAAAUUAAGAAUCUUAAAGCUUGUAUCUCCAUAACAACACAAUGAUUUCAUUUUCAUAAUGAUACAAGUUGCUGGAAACCACAACAGGAAAGGGAAUCAUUCAGAUGUCUCACUCACCAGAAGCUGGCCCCAGAUCGGAGCUGGGGCAGUGGGGAAUUAGGCACUACACUUGCCUGAGGAAUCAUCCCUGUUCACAGUACUCUGAAUGAGCACUGUGCCCAUCUGCUACUUGCACCUUGGUAGCACUGGCAUGUUUCAGCCUGUAGCCAACAAAUCAGAAUGCUAAGCUUUUAAAAUAGGUUUUAAAAUAAAUAAGUAAUCUAACUUUAAGAAAACGCUGACAGUGAAAGUUUGGAGAUGCAGAUUUCAACUUCUCAGCCAGAGCAAAUGUGAUUGUUCCUCUUCACGAAACACAAGAAGAGAAGUUUGGUUCACUGCUGGUCUUGGUGAACUCAAUUAUAUGAUUGUGUUUAAGAGUGAUAAUUCAUGUAACAACUGUAGAAAUCACAUGAACUUUUAACUGCAUCAUCAAUUUGCAAUUUUUUAAAUUAAGUCAGCAUAAUUUUUUAAGCUGUGAUAUAUGAUAAAUGAGAUUGUUUAUUGCUACAAGAGUUUACAGUACAACUGUUGGUUCUUACAACAAGUCUGUUUAGGUUAGCAUUGGUCCCUGCGUUAGCUUUGUGUUGUUCCACCUACUUGAUAACAAAAAAACAAAAACUGCCUGGCUGACAGACUUCUCUACUGUGCACUUCUGACUUAAAGCCUCUACUUUACAAAAUGAUUGGAGCAUUUUCAGUUUUAAAUAUCAAGUGUCCAAAUAAGCAAAAAGAUUAAUUAGCAGAGAACUACAUCAAUAGCACAUCAGACUUUUCAGUUAAAAAAAAGUCAAAGUUAAUAAUUUUCUAAUGCUUUAGAAUCUGUGAUAGUUAUUUUGCCACUCAGAGUCACACUUCUGGAGGUGAUCACGUUUUAACCAACCUAUACCUUACUGUUCUAUACAAUCUCUUCAGUAUAUUUACUGAUUAAAAGAAAAGCAUUAUGCCAUUAGCAACUGUCUUUAAAAUAAAAAACCAUUGGAGCCUUGGACAUAAUACAGAAGGAAAGGAAAAACAUGUCACCACAGACAUCACACUGACCGCAAUAAAAGCUAUCCAUUUAUUCAUCUUAGCCAGACAUCAUUACCGAAUAGGUUCAUGUAUUAUAUUUCUUGCAAAGUAUAAUGUGCAGAAGCAGCAUAUGGCUUGGCUGGAUUUUGAAUAUAUAGUUAUGGUUACUGAUAUAACCAACAUAAAAUUGAUACAGAAUUGCAACAGAUUGGGUUUUACUAAGAAGUAAUUAGGAAAUAAUCACUGUGUUAUGAUUAACCUGGUCUAAAAGGGAAAGGAGGAGUCCUUAAGGCUGAAGACAUACCUGAAGUAUAAGGGGCUAUUGAGAUUUUACGACAGCAGCAGUGGUGAGCAAGAUGAGCUCAAACAAUGUGGCAAGAGAGUAUGUGAGACACAUGGAUAAAAUAACAGAAAAAAAUGCCUUUGUACUUAUCUAUAAGGUUUCCUGCAAAAAUCAUUAGGGACAGGAAUAGAAAGAAAAAUAGCGAGGAAGAGUGACAAAACUUCACAGUGAGCCACAGGCAGCAGGUUUCUUUAAAUGACAGUAAACAGAGCUCUUAGGUACAUUCAUUCCCACAACACUGAAUUUCAUGAUGCAUACUUUAAAAUAAAACAAACAGACUUUUUCAAGUAUUACAUGGUGAAUUGCGUAGCAUUAUCUUUUCUUUAAGAAAGGGUUUUUUUUUUUCUUAACAUGUGUAUGACUUCCUUUGAAAGGGUUUCUCAAAUUUAUAAACAUACCCAUACUUAGGAUCUAUUGGUGGAGGGAAAAAAAGCACCCCAAACCAGCACUAAUGACAUUCAACUUUUAAAACUUCACCCAAGGACAAGGUGAAAAAUAAAGAACUAAUGCCUCUUGUAGCAUUUAGUUCUUAAUGUUUCAAAACCUCAUCUUUUCAGGAAAGCAACAUGCUAUUUCAGUUGAUUUGGUACAUGCCCAGAAUAUAACAAGAACUGAACCCUGGGUAUACUUUUAUCUAAUAACUGUCUUUUGCAUUUUCUUUUUACUCCUGCUCCGGAACAUUUUAAAAGCUUGUGAGUUGCAAAAAACUGAGAAUUCUUCCCCCACAUUGCAACUACUAAGUCAAAAGAAUAUGCUAACAAAUAUAAAGGAUAUUAUUAAUCUGAACCAAUUUAUGAACGAGUUUUCUUCUCUAGAAUACUUAUUUAAAUUAAUCAGAUUCCUUGAUUAUUUGUGGAACUGGUUAAAGAAAACACCAGCCUUGGAUUUCCAGGACCCUGUAAUUUCUAAUAAUUCAGGUUACUAUUCAUUACAGCAGGUGCACGUGUUUCUAUGCUGAGCCUUUGUGAGCACUGAUUCAAGCUCUCUAAAGGCCAAGGUAAGACAGAGUACACAAAAUUCUUGUUAUGAUGGUUCAGAGGCAUUCUGAUAACUUUGGAAUAGUGUCAUAUGAUAUAUAAAUUAUUCUUAAUUUUCCAUCUGCACAGAUGAAGAGUGAAAAAUAAUAAAAAGCCAUUGAAUGGAUAACUUCUGCUGGCCUCAGCGGAAACCAAAGGAAAAUUCAUAAACUACUAUGACAAAAUAAAAUGCAGAGUCUCUCUAGCGUUUUAGGUUUGUAUUGAAAAGCACAACCAUUAACCUCUGUUCAAAGGAAACAGGGACUGAGCUAGCAAUAGUGUUACAUUAAGAUACUAGGCAAACCAACUGAGAAACUUUAGAAAGAUACAUGUAAUAUCUACUUGAGUAAGCAUGAUACCAAUUAAGCCAGUUGCAUGCUCAGGUCUCCUAAGAGUCAUAUGAUCCCAACAGCAUUUCUUGCAUGGCAGCAAGUCAUAACUGCUAGUCUUCAAAUCAGAUUGAAGACCAGAACUGUCUCUCAUCAUCACCAAGCAGGUUAGAGUGGGCCAGUAUACAGAGCCAGUACUCUGCGUUCCACUUUAUUUCUCAUAUUUUGAUAGUUAGGAUUCAGGGACCAAAAAUACAUUUAUCUUCCCCCAUCAAUAUGUUCUUUAUUUCCCCACUCCACUUUUUCUAAGGCUUCCCUGGAAAAAAAAAAAACCUUCUGCUUAUUUUUUUUCCCUUUUGUUUAUUUAUGGUUUUACAGUGUUUCUUGAACAACACCAAGGAAGUUGUCUUUGCACAUCCUAGUAUCCCAGAUCGGGGUUGAUACAGCCAGAAAUUUUACAGCACCAAGAUACAGGAAUGACACAACAGACUAGAAGGCAAAUUAACAAUAGUGACGACCACUAUAAAGUGAUGGAAAGUAUAACAAUAAUAGCAGAGUAGCACAAUCCCAGUCUACAGUAAAUGACAACAACACCAAACGCAGCAGCCAUGAUACAGAAAUGAAAGGAAAAACUGCUUACCUUGUGAAGACCUUCAGUAAGCAGUAACCUCCAACAAGAUAUCCUCACCUCCACUGCUAACCCUUAAAUGAAGUCUGGGAAGGGGUGGAUCCUGGCUCCAUGCCUUCCAAUCACUCAGGUGCUCCACAUGCAGCUGAGCUCCCCUGGGUUGGCCCUGCCUUCCACCAGGUGCUCAAUCACUGGUUCAGGCUAUGACUUAGCAUUUCUGCUACAACAGUGAAAAACAGGCACCUAGCAUAGAUGAAUCAACCCAGACAAAAAACAAUGAAACAUUGUUAGAGCAAGGACUUGAACUUCAAUUAAAAUUGCAAAUGACUCUGUACCAUCACCAAAUGCUUAGGAAUAAGACUACUUGCCUAACUCAAUGCCCCAAAUCUAAACCAAUAAAUUUUCAAGUGCGAUAACUUGUAAAAAGUCUGCCUAGAAGGAAGGUCCAUAUCAUGAACAUUCAAAUAGACCAGCAAGAUGAUGCUAACAGCCUUCUUAUCAAAAGCAAGCCAAACAGAAUGAGUGUGAGAGAGAUGAGCUCAUGCACACUAGACAACAAGUAGCAAGCAUUCAGGAUCCUCAUUUUAGAAAAAUGAACUAUCUAUAACCUUGUUAGCCUCAUCUGGAGCAGAAAAACUUUCAAUAGCAUUAGGAUGGCAGUACUGCAGCAACACUACCUCAGACUUAAAGAAAUAACGAGAAGAAGUUAGAGGAGAUGCACUGGGUCCUGAAGCUCUCUCAUAAAGGAAUAAGCUUUCUGAAUACACCGACUUACAGCACAUGAAAAUAAACAUAAAGCUGGAAAUCCCAUGUUCUGUCAUGGAGAUACUUUCUACUUCUCACUGAGUCAAAAGUGCAUAGAGUCCACAACAGCCUUAUUGCAAUAUUUCAGAAAAUGCUCAUGCAGAAGUACUUGUCUUACAACAUUGCUGAUCUAUUGCACCUGAGAAAGUUCCCUGGGAACCCUAAGGACCAAGAAACCUCCAAAACAACAGACCCUCCAUGCUCCCCUUCCACACUCAUGAUGAAUGUAAAGAUAAAGAUGUAAAGCUGAGAUACCUUAAAUUAGUGCUAGAUGUGGCUGGGUUGAAUGCUAGAAGUUUCCAGAGAGCAUUGAGGGUUUUUUUUUUUUUUUAAUCAAAUGUGCCUUUUUGAAACCAAAAUCUGCUGUUCCUCAUCAAAUAAAACAGUGUCAACUUUUCUGCAAAGCAGAUCUUUGUUCAAGCACAGAAAGAGGUACAAUUCAUCCUGCUGUAUAUUUUAUAUGUGCAUAUAUACUACAGGCUGAGUUUAGUAUGUUAAGUUGACAGAAAGUACCUAAGGAGAUGAUAUUUUUCCUCAAAAUAAUUUUUUUUUUUUUUUUUUUUUUUAAUAUUCUUGUUCCUCUUCUCCUGUUUGUCAGUUGAAGAACUACAAAACUAGUGUAAGUUUUCUUCUCCAAAACACUAGCUAGAUGACUUCAUUUCUCUUGGCAGUUUUGGGAGUUUGAUCUCUUCACACUUUCACCUUUGUGAGAGUAAUCCCCCCUUCUAGCUGACUCAUUCAAAGUCUACAGAGCAGAUAAAAGAGCAAGCAGUUGAGCCUUGGCCUCCCAAAUCAUUUUUAGCUCUCUAUCUUUCAGCAUAUCUUUUCCUUGAAGAAAGUUUAUACCUUUCCUUACAGGAAUGCAAUUUGUUCUAGGAAAGAAAAGAAAAAAUCAAGACUAACAUGAACAUCUAUUACAGUUCAUCUGUUAGGAUAAUAAAACUUCUAGAGAGGUUAUAAUAGUAGCUUUACCUCAUUUGUCUUUUAAAAUCUCUUCUCCCUGUCUUAGAAGGCAGCAAUAAAAUAAGAUCAUAGAUAUGCUAGGUCAUCCCAGCUCUUACCAUUUGUGUCAUUCAAGCUAGUUUUAAGUAAGGCUAGAGAACAGUGGGUUUUAAAAUUCUAGCUAUUCUCUCUGCAUAGGGUUUGUCCAAAUGUUCGCAAUGUCAAAAAUAAAUAAAUAAAUAAAUCACCUGGGACAUCAUUUUGACACUAUAUAAAGUGCUCAUUUGGACAAUAUUAACCAUAAGAGUAGAAAUCUUUCUUGGAAUUAAAUAAAUGCAUUUUUUAUGUUGGUGAAAAAAAGACUGAGACAACCUACUUAGAGUACUGAGCAAACUAGGUGACUGGAUGCUCAGCUCACUACCCAAAUUCAGUUUAAGUAGUAGCAAAAUACAAGCUGUUGUAACUUGGGAAAUCUAGAAAUACAGACAUUUUACAAGAAGAUCUGAAGAAAAUUCCGAGUUUUUUUUAGUUAAGGAAAUACUUCUUUCAUGUUCAUGUUAGUUUCAAAACUAUUUACUUCUAUAGUUUCAGUUCAAUAAAACUUUUAGAUAUAGUUACCACCCACUUAAAAACUACUAUAAUGUCUUUUCACUACAUCAAUUAUAAACAUUCUUCAACAGAAUUGUCAGAGAUGACAGGAGAUACUGCAUGAUCUGCUUUUGAAUGUAUUAGUUUUGCUAUUAAUACUAAAUACAGUUGUGUUUUUAAAGUUUUACUUGGAGUUGUUCUUAGCGGUAAUAUUUGUUUUUCUCACCCUAUUGAAGUACACUGGAACAAAGGUAUACCUCUAUCUUCAUGUAAAAUGACAAAUGAUUAUUUAAUGUAAUUGUAAAGGGAACACAUUGAGAACUGAAUGAGUGACUUUGGCAAUGAUUUUCAGAAAAAUCUUUUUGUUCUGUCAAUUACAAAUAAUUUUCCAUUAUUCAUCACUUAAUAUAUUAUUCAGUAAUUUUCCAGAGGAUCUAUCAAUCUCAAAUUAUUUAAUGGUAAUUCUAUGUUGAACAUGUUUCACCUCACAUCAUACUACUGAUAUAGCCUUUUUUUUUUCCCUAGAAAUAAUAACUAAACCAUUCUCUGAAAGAGCAAAUCAAAUAGAGUUUUUUAAUCAACUAAAAGAUGGGAAAAGCCAGAAAGAGGACUAGAACUACAUCCAAUAUCUAAAAAGUACCGAAUCACAUUUAGCAUCUUUGCUCUUUGUGUUUUACUUUGAUCUAUACAUUAUCAGUCAUAAACUUUGGCUAAUUCAAAACAAAAGAGAUUUUUUUAAAAAAAAAAGAAUAUUAAUAUGUUAGCCCAAGAAAUUGCAUCAUUCUUUUAACUGUUUACCAGAUUUGUCUUGAGUCAAGAUACAUUUAAAGCUUAGAUGUGAAGGAAAAUAUACUAUUCCUAGGGGGCACAGAGAACCCAAUAACUUUCUUCUUCAUGCUUAAUAAUCUUGUAUGUGAGGGACCAAUCCAAUUUGUGGAAACGAAUUGUACCUUAGGGAUAUGUUAUUUCAACCCAAACUGAAUAUACUAUUCAUUUUAAAAAGUAGCAAUAAAAAUUAUAUAAGAUGCAAUUCAUUAUUUUUCUAAAUGUUUCGUGAUUCCACUGGGAGGAGAGACUUAAAUAGCUUACAGGAAGCCUACCUUAAUUAGGUUGCUUUUCAAAUCAAAUAUAGUAUAAUUUUAACAUAAAAAUGUCACUCAAGGAAAGUAUUCCAUUUACAAAGAUGAUUAAUAAAGUUUAAAGGAAAAAUGGGGGAUAUAUCCAUGGGUGAUAUGUGAAGGAAUGUGAGAGAGGAAAUGAUGCACAUGUAAAUGGACAUGUACAAAUAUGCAGCUAGCUAUGAGCUAUAUACAGAUAUCUGUUUCAUAUUCAUGCAUGCCUACACACACACAGAGAAGGGCAAUUUGUUACCAAAGCAACCACAUUCAGUUGUUUUUUUGUCCUCCAUCAGAAUUGGUUUGCAUUUUUGUUAAAAUAUUUUAGCUACUAAAAGCUCAGAAGAAUUUAUUGUGUAAAUAUUUAUUUAAGCUCAAAACUCGUUUACUUUUAUAAGAAUCUCUUUUUCAGCUUUAUAAGGGAAAAAGAGAAGAAAAUCAUAUUUGUUUUCAUGGAUUUACAAACAAUAAGACAUUAAAGUUAUAAUUGAGGUACUUUGCCUCAGUGGUGCUGUUAAAAUAUUGAUGUUUAUGCCAUAGAAAUAGUCAUUUCCUUUUCUGUGUAUAGAGAAAUGCUUCAGUUUCUCAGAUCCUCAAAUACAGUAAUUUACAUAAAUAUUGACUUUUAAUGAGGGCUGUGGUCAACGAUUUAAUUUGGGGACUGCAAUUCCACUGUAAUUUAAGAAGCAACAAUAAAAGCUGAAAUUUAGGAGCUUUAAUUCUCAGUGUACCCUUUCGGAAGACACUUAGUACUAAGUUUUAUAAGCCUUCAAAUAGCUUUUAAAUGAAGUACCUGAGUUCCACUAUUACCAUGUACUUGCAGUGCUCCAUGUACCCACCCCCAGUCUUAGUUUCUGAAACCAGGCAGCAAAACUUGAAAAUUCUGGCCUUAUCUUUCCUGCAUCUCAGCUAACCCAGUAGAAAAUAUACCCUAAGAAGAUUUACACAUUUAGGGAUUUACACAUCAUAGGUAACCAUGGCUUGAAUAUGUUGUGUAUAAUCCAUUCACAAUUAAUUUUUCAUGUUAGGCAAUAAUUUCAUUAACCUGAAGAGACAAGUUGACCAAAUAGUGAGUGAGAGAAGCAUGCACUAUAAUAUUCAACUUUUUUCCUUUUCUUUUUCCCGUGAAAAGCUGUAAAAACUUGUGAGUCAAAUCAAACACAGAAUAUAGCGUUCUGUGAUAUGAUCACUCAUGUCUUAUACAAAUUAUUAGCUCACCCUGUAAGGCCGAUCUAUACUUAAAACAAAAUGGAAUAAUGUAUUUUAUUAACAUCUGUUCAUCAGAGACAUUUUUUUCAAUAAAUAACAAUCAUAUAUCCUGCACUGAAAUGACACGUUAAAUGGUUUGGGUCUGUAAACAGUAUUUUAUCUCAUAAAUAGCAAUGGAGAUUUUGUAAUACAAUCUUGCAUACAGCUUGUAUCUUAAUACAUAAUAUUAAGAAGUACUUCACUAGAUCUGUGAAAAAAAUGUUAUUAGUUUUUAUCUUGCUGAGACUCUACAUUUUUUAAAAUCAAUUCUGGGUCAAUCUUUUUCCAUUUUGGUUAGAACAAACAACAGAUAUUAUUUUGAAUCAAAUGAAACUUUGUUUUUAGCUGCGUAUUUUUUAUCCUAAAACCUAGUAUUUAAUUUUAAGCAGCUUUCUAAAUGAAAUGUCAUAUAAAAAGAUUAACCACUACCACCAACAAAAACAAACAACAAAAAGUCUUGAUGUAUGUUCUUUUCACAUUUUAAGUCUUUCUGUGAUUUUAGCUGACUUUUAUUGAGGAUACUGCAAUGUACUUGCCACAUGAAUAAUGAUUCAGAACUUUGUGCCAGUCUGUAUAGAACUGCUGACCUUUCACUUAGCUGCAGACACCUCUCUAUCCAUAACCCAAAGAGGGUGACUGUUACUGCCAGUGAGUGAAACAUCAAACAGCAAUCUCAAAAUAUAAGGAUCUAUUCAUAAGGAGAUCUGAAACCUUGAGAAUGUUAGAAAUAACUAGGACUCCCUUGUUAAUGAACAAAAAACCGUUAAUCAGUUCCACAUAGCAAUUUGUAAAGCAAAUAAGGAUAGUGAUGGAUUGUCAUGCACAAGUAUCAUAUAUCCAAAUAAUAAUUACUCGCUUUAUAGUAUAAUAUUCUCUGUGUAUUCAUAUGCAGAUUUUAAACAAGCUACAUCCUUUGUUAGGAUUAAUAUUUGAUGUAUGGAAUAGUAUUUGACAAAUACCAAUAUUUAUAUAUAUAUAUAUAUAUUUCUUUUAAUUUCUCUUCGACAUCUUUUCUGAGUCUGUUUUUAGCAUUCUUUAAACAAUUUACUAAGUUUGUCUAUUCUCUUUGAAAAGCAUCAAAGUGUUUAGGACUUCAGCAUUUUAAACACACCCAAUGGUAACUGUCCCAUCCUUCCUCAGUGGGACUUUCAGCAUGCAGGAACAACUCUUUUGUAAGAGAUGAGAAGAACAGUACCUCAGAGCCCACCAGGAGCUCCUUUACUGUUAGGAUCCAUGCAUAUUCAUUGAUCAGCCAGUCAGUCACCUCUUUCUCUUUGGCACUGAUUGACAUUAUGACCUGAAGGGAAAAACAGAUUUGAUACCAACACAGAAACUUCUAUAGCAACCAGCCAACCUCUUGUGACAAUAACAGGAGACUAAUCAGUUAUAGCUGAACGAAAUUAAGAGUACUGCUAUUUUACAGAGUUAUAAUGAUGUUCUCUGGCCUAAGGUGAACACAUUUCCCAAAUAUAAUCAUGACAUUACUAAUUAUUCCAAAUCUGCAGGUCUACCCUAUCCCAACUGCUCACAUUUCCUCUUUGUGCCAGAAUUUUCUUCAGGAACAGUUCAAACAACAUCCAAAGCUCCUCUGUGUGGCCCUUCAGCUCCUUGUCUUAUAGGAUAUGUCUUCUUUGUCCCUGCUGCUCGGAUCUCACCCAGUGGCCUGUGGCAGACUCCUCCUAAACCUGGAAAAUUCUCACAGGUUUCUUCAAACACAUUUAGGAAGAAAAUGCAACUGAAAAUGGCAAAUACAAAUCCAGGUACAGGAAUGAGAGGCGAAACUGAAAUUCAUGGAUUAUUAAGUCCUGAAGAUGGCAGCAGAGGGACAAUCUGACAUGGAAGUGCAAUGAAGAAAAGGAAACAAUGAAACAGGAAAAAAACCCUUUCCCCGAGGAUAACAGAUGAAGAGUUGAAGCUCCUUGCAUUCCACUCAAGCCAAAUUUUGGAAGAGGAUUAUAGACUUGGUCAAGAGGGAAAUGUUGGGGAACACUAUCAAGUCUAUCCAUAUAGCACAUUAAAAGACUUUUUCUUCACUUGACUCUGCUAAUCCUGUCAGCCAUUGUUGGUUUUAUGCAUAAUUUUCAGGCCAUGACAGACUUUAAAGAGAAAUGCUCAUAUGAAUUUGAGAAAUUUAUAUGAAAUAAUAUCACAAUAGUUUUCUGCAAAACACCAAAGAGUUUCUGUCAGAUACAGUGACAAUUGCAGUUUCCCUUCUAGAUUGUAAACAAAUGUGAUUUUAAAUGAUACCAUCCUAUCCUUUAGACAACUGAUAAAAUUCUUUCCUCACCUCUCAUGUUUCAUUAAGGUGUGUCAUAGGUAUUUUCAAUGCAACAAAAUAAAAAAUCACUACACUGGUAAGAUCAUCAUGGCCAGCUCAUUUAUUUAACCUAUGAAUUUGCAAAAAGAAGAGUAUAAGAGUUCUCAAAAUAUAAAGUCUUACUUAUAAGGACAGUGAAUGAGG
ensembl:lncRNA